rnacentral:rRNA from 1 species
AACGUAGGGGACAAGCGUUGUUCGGAAUUACUGGGCGUAAAGGGCUCGUAGGUGGCCAACUAAGUCAGACGUGAAAUCCCCCGGCUUAACCUGGGAACUGCGUCUGAUACUGGACGGCUUGAGUAUGGGAGAGGGAUGUAGAAUUCCAGGUGUAGCGGUGAAAUGCGUAGAUAUCUGGAGGAAUACCGGUGGCGAAGGCGGCAUCCUGGACCAUUACUGACGCUGAUGCGCGAAAGCUAGGGGAGCAAACGGG